CGGCCGGUCUGUGCGGAAGCAUUGUGUUACACAUAUAUAGGUGAUAUAUAGUGAAAUAUUAUUAUGGAACAUUCAAUGCAACCAACAGCAACGACGUCGACGGUGGCAUCAAUAUUAAUGCCAUCGGCAUCAACAAUAACAUCGUCGGCGUCGGCGAAGGACCGGCGUUGGUGGAGGAAUCGGAAUCGGCGGAGGUACUGGUGUCGGCGAAGGCACCGGCGUCGGUGGAAGCACCGGAGUCAGCGGAGGUGCUGGCACCGGCACCGGCGUCGGCGGAAGCACCGGAGUCAGCGGAGAUGCUGGCAUCGGCAAAGGCACCGGCACCGGCAUCGGCAGAAGCUCCAACGUCGGCAGUGACACCGGCAUCAGCGUCAAUAACAUUAAAUCAAGAACAACUUAUAGCAGUUAUUAAUUCUGCUGUACAAGCAAUAUUAAGAGGACGGGGAGGACGUGGG